rnacentral:rRNA from 1 species
AUUGAACGCUAGCGGGAUGCUUUACACAUGCAAGUCGAACGGCAGCGCGGACUUCGGUCUGGCGGCGAGUGGCGAACGGGUGAGUAAUGUAUCGGAACGUGCCCAGUAGCGGGGGAUAACUACGCGAAAGCGUAGCUAAUACCGCAUACGCCCUACGGGGGAAAGCAGGGGAUCGUAAGACCUUGCACUAUUUGAGCGGCCGAUAUCGGAUUAGCUAGUUGGUGAGGUAACGGCUCACCAAGGCGACGAUCCGUAGCUGGUUUGAGAGGACGACCAGCCACACUGGGACUGGGACACGGCCCAGACUCCUACGGGAGGCAGCAGUGGGGAAUUUUGGACAAUGGGGGCAACCCUGAUCCAGCCAUCCCGCGUGUGCGAUGAAGGCCUUCGGGUUGUAAAGCACUUUUGGCAGGAAAGAAACGUCGCGGGCUAAUACCCCGUGGAGCUGACGGUACCUGCAGAAUAAGCACCGGCUAACUACGUG